ACUAGCUUAGUAUAAGUUGUAGUAUGGGAGAUUGUAGAUCUUGCGGUGAUUGGUGUCAGCUAGAA
rnacentral:tRNA from 1 species